rnacentral:rRNA from 1 species
CACGUAGGGCGCAAGCGUUGUCCGGAAUUAUUGGGCGUAAAGAGCUCGUAGGCGGUCUGUUACGUCUGCUGUGAAAACCCGGGGCUUAACCCUGGGCUUGCAGUGGAUACGGGCAGACUAGAGGCAGGUAGGGGAGAAUGGAAUUCCCGGUGUAGCGGUGAAAUGCGCAGAUAUCGGGAGGAACACCAAUGGCGAAGGCAGCUCGCUGGGACGUUACUGACGCUGAGACGCGAAAGCGUGGGGAGCAAACAGG